CGCAUGUAUUAGAUAAAGCCAAUGCAUGCUUUUACAGUAUGGAAAUUGGUGAUUUAUAAUAACUUAGCAAAUCGCAAAGUGAAAACAGGCGAUAAAUCAUUCAAGUUUCUGACCUAUCAGCUUUCGACGGUAUGGUAUUGGCUUACCGUGGCAGUGACGGUUAACGGGGGAUUAGGGUUCGAUUCCGGAGAGGGAGCCUGAGAAACGGCUACCACAUCUAAGGAAGGCAGCAGGCGCGCAAAUUACCCAAUUCUAACAGUUUGAGAGAGGUAGUAACAAGAAAUAACAAUACAAGGCAGUUAAAAUGCUUUGUAAUUGGAAUGAUAGAAAUUUAAACCCUUUUUAAAGUAUCAAUUGGAGGGCAAGUCUGGUGCCAGCAGCCGCGGUAAUUCCAGCUCCAAUAGCGUAUAUUAAAAUUGUUGCAGUUAAAAAGCUCGUAGUUGAAGUUCUGCUAAAAGUAACCGGUCUGCUUUUAAUAAAAGUGGUAUCUUGGUGUGUAUUUAGCAAUGAUGUCCUUUGAAGUGUUUUUUACUUUAUUGUAAUAAAGCAUAUUCAGGACUUUUACUUUGAGAAAAUUAGAGUGUUUCUAGCAGGCCGACGCUUUGAAUACUGCAGCAUGGAAUAAUAAG
rnacentral:rRNA from 1 species